CACGUAGGGUGCGAGCGUUGUCCGGAAUUAUUGGGCGUAAAGAGCUCGUAGGCGGUGUGUCGCGUCGGCCGUGAAAACUUGGGGCUUAACUCUGAGCGUGCGGUCGAUACGGGCAUCACUUGAGUUCGGCAGGGGAGACUGGAAUUCCUGGUGUAGCGGUGAAAUGCGCAGAUAUCAGGAGGAACACCGGUGGCGAAGGCGGUUCUCUGGGCAUGUCCUGACGCUGAGGCGCGAAAGCGUGGGGAGCAAACAGG
rnacentral:rRNA from 1 species